rnacentral:snRNA from 1 species
GUGCUCACUUUGGUAGCACAUAUACUAAAAUUUGAACAAAACAAAAGAGAUUAGCAUAACCCACGUGCAAGGAUGACACACAGUCCAUAUUUCU